GCCAUUUUGGCGAAAAUACGCACAAGGUUUAGGACUUUGGGGUGACUUUAAGUCAAAUGGUG
rnacentral:tRNA from 1 species